rnacentral:rRNA from 1 species
UACAAUGCUGGCAACAGCGAUAAGGGAACCUCGAGUGCCAGGUUACAAAUCUGGCUGUCGAGAUGCCUAAAAAGCAUUUCAUAGCAAGGGCCGGGCAAGACCGGUGCCAGCCGCCGCGGUAACACCGGCGGCUCGAGUGGUAACCGUUAUUAUUGGGUCUAAAGGGUCUGUAGCCGGCCGGAUAAGUCUCUUGAGAAAUCUGGCAGCUUAACUGUCAGGCUUUCAGGAGAUACUGUCUGGCUCGAGGCCGGGAGAGGUGAGAGGUACUUCAGGGGUAGGGGUGAAAUCUUGUAAUCCUUGAAGGACCACCAGUGGCGAAGGCGUCUCACCAGAACGGACCUGACGGCAAGGGACGAAAGCUAGGGGCACGAACCGGAUUAGAUACCCGGGUAGUCCUAGCCGUAAACGAUACUCGCUAGGUGUCGGCCACGGUGCGACCGUUGUCGGUGCCGUAGGGAAGCCG